rnacentral:tRNA from 1 species
GUAAGAGUAUAUAAGUAUAUAAUUAAUAUUUAAUAUUUUCAGAUAUAUUUGUUUGAAAUUUUAAUUUUCAAAAAUAAAAAUAUUAAAUGUAUUAAUUAUUUAAAAAAUUUUUAUCUUUAUAAAUAUUUUAUAAAUUUUAUUAUAUUUCUUUAAUUAUGAAUUUAAAUUGAACAAAUUAUAUUCGUAAUCAGUUAAAUUUUUAUUUUUUUUAAAAUAAAAAUACUUACU